rnacentral:rRNA from 1 species
GAGCGGUGAAAUGCGUAGAUAUUGGAAAGACCACCAAUGGCGAAGGCACUCUACUGGGCCAUUACUGACACUGAGAGACGAAAGCUAGGGGAGCAAAUGGGAUUAGAUACCCCAGUAGUCCUAGCCGUAAACGAUGGAUACUAGGCGCUGUGCGUAUCGACCCGUGCAGUGCUGUAGCUAACGCGUUAAGUAUCCCGCCUGGGGAGUACGUUCGCAAGAAUGAAACUCAAAGGAAUUGACGGGGGCCCGCACAAGCGGUGGAGCAUGUGGUUUAAUUCGAAACAACGCGCAGAACCUUACCAAUCCUUGCAAUAUACAGGAAACAACUGUUACAAGUUGUCUUUUGGUAUACAGGCGCUGCAUGGCUGUCGUCAGUUCGUGGCGUGAGCUGUUGGGUUAAGUCCUAGAACGAACGCAACCCUCUUAGCAUGUGCAAUAAUGUUGCCUUGCUAAACUGCCAGUGACAUACGGGAGGAAGGAGAGGAUGACGUCAAGUCCGCAUGGCCCUUAUGGGUUGGGCUACACACGUGCUACAAUGGCGAACACAAAGGGAUGCAAGAUGGCAACAUGGAGCAAAUCCUCAACUUUCGUCGUAGUUCGGAUUGUUCUCUGCAACUCGAGAACAUGAAGUUGGAAUCGCUAGUAAUCGUAGAUCAGCAUGCUACGGUGAAUUUGUAUCUAAGCCUUGUACACACCGCCCGUCACAUAAUGGGAGCGGGACUUGCACAAAGCAUAUU